AUUGAACGCUGGCGGCAGGCCUAACACAUGCAAGUCGAACGAGUGGCGGACGGGUGAGUAAUGUCUGGGAAACUGCCUGAUGGAGGGGGAUAACUACUGGAAACGGUAGCUAAUACCGCAUACCAUCGGAUGUGCCCAGAUGGGAUUAGCUAGUAGGUGGGGUAACGGCUUACCAAGGCAACGAUGCAUAGCCGACCUGAGAGGGUGAUCGGCCACACUGGAACUGAGACACGGUCCAGACUCCUACGGGAGGCAGCAGUGGGGAAUAUUGCACAAUGGGCGCAAGCCUGAUGCAGCCAUGCCGCGUGUAUGAAGAAGGCCUUCGGGUUGUAAAGUACUUUCAGCGGGGAGGCGUUACCCGCAGAAGAAGCACCGGCUAACUCCGUGCCAGCAGCCGCGGUAAUAC
rnacentral:rRNA from 1 species